UAACACAUAAUCCAGAUGGCUCCUUACGUGUUAAAAAUUGUCACCCCAAUUUCACUCCAAUUUGGAAAAAUAUUGGAGUGACGUUUGAAUAAUCUGAAAUUUUUAGAUUCCUUUUCUAACUUUUUUGGGAGGUUUUGCUUCUCUUGCACAGAUGUCGCUUGCACUUCAGUUGCGUGGUUGCCAAACGUUAUAUCGAAAUAUAUUUCAUUUCAUUAUGAAUAUAUAAAAUUAAAAAUUAUGUAAUUUAUAAACAUGAAAUAGAUAUGGAUGUUAGGUAAUACCGGAUGUUAAAUUAAUAUAUAAAUAUUUAACUUAAUACGUACAUUAUUAUUUUAUUAAUUUAUCGUCACACGUCAUUUACCAGUUGCCUAAUUACGAAAAGUUUCAUAUGAUAUUAACCUCAAAAAUGAUCUUUGAAAACAAACAACAACAAAUAACUCAAAGAAAUAACUACAUACUACAUAAUAAUAACUGAUAAUAAUGACUUUUAAUGGUAUAAAGGCUGAUGAAGUUUUAGACAACCAAUACAAGAUUCAGAACUCGGCAUCGCGAUAAACAAGUAAAAUUGUACAUUCAGGAACUCGUUUAAAUAUUAUAGGUUGAUUGAAGAAUAAUCUACAAUUGAUUAGAGCCUAUGACGAUGCGAAGAUAAUUAAUCACCUAACUUUAAGAAACCAGCCUAAAGAAGUUUACAUGCAUCUCAUCUAACCAUUAUAGGUACAUUUUAUCUUCUAGAUCAGUAGUGAUUUUUCAUAAUUUGAAUGAACUCACAGAUAGCAAUGGGGCACCGCACCGAAGCAGUAUUACAAAAUGUGAAAUAAAACUGUAGUACAUAUUGCUCUAUAAAAUUUAAUAGAAAUAAAUUUAUUUAUGAAAAUUAAUGAAGUUUUAUCUUUCCUAGGAAAAAAAUAACAAUUAUAUUUUGAACAAUUAAUUUAGAACAUUAGAGUUAAAAAAAUAUAUGUGUUAGAAAUUGU